rnacentral:rRNA from 1 species
UAGGGAAUCUUCCGCAAUGGGCGAAAGCCUGACGGAGCAACGCCGCGUGAGUGAUGAAGGUCUUCGGAUCGUAAAACUCUGUUUUUAGGGAAGAACAAAUGUGUAAGUAACUAUGCACGUCUUGACGGUACCUAAUCAGAAAGCCACGGCUAACUACGUGCCAGCAGCCGCGGUAAUCCGUAGGUGGCAAGCGUUAUCCGGAAUUAUUGGGCGUAAAGCGCGCGUAGGCGGUUUUUUAAGUCUGAGGUGAAAGCCCACGGCUCAACCGUGGAGGGUCAUUGGAAACUGGAAAACUUGAGUGCAGAAGAGGAGAGGGGAAUUCCAUGUGUAGCGGUAAAAUGGGCAAAGAUAUGGAGGAAAACCAGUGGCGAAGGCGACUUUCUGGUCUGAAACUGACGCUGAUGUGCGAAAGCGUGGGGAUCAAACAGG